rnacentral:rRNA from 1 species
AUUGAACGCUGGCGGCAGGCCUAACACAUGCAAGUCGAGCGGAUGAAGGGAGCUUGCUCCUGGAUUCAGCGGCGGACGGGUGAGUAAUGCCUAGGAAUCUGCCUGGUAGUGGGGGAUAACGUCCGGAAACGGGCGCUAAUACCGCAUACGUCCUGAGGGAGAAAGUGGGGGAUCUUCGGACCUCACGCUAUCAGAUGAGCCUAGGUCGGAUUAGCUAGUUGGUGGGGUAAAGGCCUACCAAGGCGACGAUCCGUAACUGGUCUGAGAGGAUGAUCAGUCACACUGGAACUGAGACACGGUCCAGACUCCUACGGGAGGCAGCAGUGGGGAAUAUUCGACAAUGGGCGAAAGCCUGAUCCAGCCAUGCCGCGUGUGUGAAGAAGGUCUUCGGAUUGUAAAGCUCUUUAAGUUGGGAGGAAGGGCAGUAAGUUAAUACCUUGCUGUUUUGACGUUACCAACAGAAUAAGCACCGGCUAACUUCGUG